UCAUCUAAUGCUGUGUUCAGACUCUGUCAGCAGAUUGUCAUUUGACUGACAGCUUCUGAUCAAUGUGGAAGCAGCCAAAUAUCUCCAAAUGAAAGAAAACUCGGGUUUAUCUUUGCAACAAUACCCUUCACAAGGUGUUCAGAUGAAGAAAAAAAGAGGAUAAAACUCCAGAAGAAGGACACGGAUUCAGUUCACAUUAAGAGGAGCAUCCAGCAGGACACAAAGAAGAUAAAAAAAAAUAAUAAAAAAAAAAAUUUGGUAAAUGUAACGUGUUAUAUCUGUAGAUAUAUUGGGAUUAAUCAGAGGAUUACAUCUUAAAGUUACUGAAAUAUUGAAGAAAACGUAUCGUAAAGUCAUCAAAGACAUGAGAAGACAUUUACAAUUACCCAUAGAAGGUCUGUGAUACCAUACUCUCACACACCAUGGACCAGUUCUCCUUCACAAACACCUUGUUAGUGUCACUGUGCUUCAAGCAGACAGGUUUGAACAGGACACAAUGGUGUUUCCUGAAGAUGCACUGAGCAGGACUUUGAAGGUCUAUCCAGAGCUCAGUGAGAGUAAGCUGAAGACAGAGCUUAGUCUCAUCUACUGCAAGGAAGAGUUCAGAAGCUCUCGUGCUGCUGUGGACCUUCUCCAGCUGUUUAUGGAGAACAAUCUUGAGGAAUAUUUUAAGAGGAGGAAAUAUGAUGAGGAAAAAAGGGAAAUGAUUCAAAUAAAGACAGACAUUGUAAAUGAUAAUGUUCAGAAGCUUUAAGAAGGAAAUACUUGUGUUCAAACAUCUCAUGAUUUACCCCCAAACAUACAGGAUUGAUGGAAAGAAUAAUAUUAAUUUCUAAAUGUCCUAGUUUGUCAUACACUGCUCCACACUCCAGUCUCGUGUGUGGCAUUAAUGCACCUUUAAAAUCAGCCACCAAUCAAAUCAAAAGAAGAAGAAGAAGCUUUUCCUACAAGAAAAAUCCUGAUCCAUACUUUAUUCCAGUUGGUGGCGGUAAUGAAACAGUUUGGCUGCAAUCCGCCAAUAAACACCAGAGAAGAAGAAGUAGAGCCGAUGACGUCAGCACUCGCGCACGCUUCAGUUUAGCGGUUUUCUGAACCCAUAAGUACAAGCAUCAAAUCAUCAUGAAGAAGAUAAAUCUGCAGAGACAGAGUUUACUGAAGGACAGAGAGAACAUGAGAGAUCUAGAACCCUGCAGAACCAAACACACUGAAAAACAAACAGCUUGUGUUUAUUAUUUUAUUGAAUCUGUAUCUAUCUGUAUUUUUAGGUUCUACUGUUAGUGUUAUCUGUAUGCACUGUGAGCCUGAGAGUAACACUAUUUCAAUUCUCUGUAUUUAUGUACUGUACAUGUGAAGAAUUGAUAAUAUAACAGACUUCAUUAUAGUCUGUUAAACCAUGUUAUUUGCUUCUAACCAAUUUAUUUCUGAAUUUGUACAUUCCUAUUGUUUAUUAUUUUCUUAUCUUUUUUAUAUUUAAUACGGAACACUACUUUUUUAGUCUUUAAUGUGGGAUGAUUCUCUUUUCAACCCUCAGCUGGACAAAGUAAUGAUGGACUCAAAGAUUAGUUGGACAUUGAGCCUAUACACAAUAAAGAAGCAGAAACUGUAGAACAAGUAUUAAUA